rnacentral:rRNA from 1 species
UGGCGGACGGGUGAGUAACGCGUGGGUAACCUGCCCUGUACAGGGGGACAACAGUUAGAAAUGACUGCUAAUACCGCAUAAGCGCACAGGACCGCAUGGUCCGGUGUGAAAAACUCCGGUGGUACAGGAUGGACCCGCGUCUGAUUAGGUAGUUGGCGGGGUAACGGCCCACCAAGCCGACGAUCAGUAGCCGACCUGAGAGGGUGAUCGGCCACAUUGGGACUGAGACACGGCCCAAACUCCUACGGAAGGCAGCAG